GGCGUACCUUUUGCAUAAUGGGCCUAGGAGUCUAUGUCAGUUGCGAGCUUAAGCGUUUACGACGUGGAGGCGAAGCGAAAGCGAGUCUGAAUAGGGCGGUAGUAACUGGGAUAGAACCCGAAGCGGAGGCGAUCUAGCCAUGGCCAGGCUGAAGCAUCGGUAACACGAUGUGGAGGGCCGAACCCAUUAACCUUGAGAAGUUAAGGGAUGAGCUGUGGUUAGGAGUGAAAGGCUAAUCAAGCCCCGUAAUAGCUGGUUCUCUCCGAAAUAUAUUUAGGUAUAGCGUCAAAUGCUGAUUACCGGGGGUAAAGCACUGAAAAGGCUAGGGUUCACACCAGAAUACCGAACCUUAUCAAACUCUGAAUACCGGUGAGUGGAAUUUGGCAGUCAGUCAGUGGGGGAUAAGCUUCAUUGGCGAGAGGGAAACAUCCCAGACCAUCGAAUAAGGUCCCAAAGAUAGUGCUAAGUGGUAAGAAGGAUGUAAGUUUUCAUAGACAAUGGGGAUGUUGGCUUAGAGGCAGCCAUCAUUUAAAAAGUGCGUAAUAGCUUACCCAUCGAGAGAAUUUGCGCCGAAAAUGAUCGGGACUAAGUACUACACCGAAUUUGUGGAAUUAGUAAUAAUUGGUAGGAGAGCGUUCCAACAUCGUAGAAGGCGGAGCGGUGAGCGACGUUGGAGAGGUUGGAAGUGAGAAUCUAGGCAUGAGUAACGAAAAGCAUGGUUAAAAUCCAUGCCGCCGUAAGGAUAAGGUUUCCUGGGGAAGGUUCGUCCGCCCAGGGUAAGUCGGGAGCUAAGGCGAGGCCGUAAGGAGUAGUCGAUGCACAACGGGUUAAUAAUCCCGUACCGGCUUGGUAAUGUUUGAGUUGCAUAUUGACGGAUGAGUGGAUGCUGGCGAGGUGAUGAACGUCCUCGUCUAAGGUGUUGUAAGGCACUGAUGGGACUUUGAGGCUACGGCCGAGGGGGAUCAGCAAUAGCUAAUUCCAGGAAAAUUUAUGCAAUUAAUUAUCAGGUUGCCCGUACCGCAAACCGACACAGGUAUCCGGGAUGAGUAUUCUAAGGCGCGUGAGUUAAAUCUCUCCAAGGAACUCGGCAAAAUGGCCCCGUAUCUUCGGUAGAAGGGGUGCCAACGCGAGUUGGUCUCAGUAAAGAGGCCCAACCGACUGUUUAUCAAAAACACAGCUCUCUGCCAAGUCGCAAGACAACGUAUAGGGAGUGACAUGUGACCAAUGCGGAAAGGUGAAAACUGCUUGUGAAAGCUUGUGGUCUAAGCCCCCGUGAAUGUCGGCCGUAACUAUAACGGUCCUAAGGUAGCGAAAUUCCUUGUCGGGUAAGUUCCGACCUGCACGAAUCAUGUAACGAGUUGGGUGCUGUCUCAGGGAGAAGCUCAGUGAAAUUGUAGUCGCGGUUAAGAUGCCGCGUACCCGCAGAAGGACGGAAAGACCCUAUGAACCUUUACUGUAAACUGAUAUUGUCGUUUGAUUUUUAAUACGUAGGAUAGCCGGGAGGCUAUGAGUUGUCACUCCAGGGUGAUGAUGAGCCGCAAUGUGAAAUACCGGUUUUUAACUAUUAGGCGUCUAACCACAUACCGUGAGCCGGUUGUGGGACAGUGUUAGUGGGUCAGUUUGACUGGGGCGGUCUCCUCCUAAAAAGUAACGGAGGACUGCGAAGGUUCCCUCAGACCGGAUGGUAAUCGGUCGUCGAGUGAUA
rnacentral:rRNA from 1 species